GGCUGGAGGCCAAGGUCAAGUUGAAAGUUGCUGUCUAGCCA
ensembl:misc_RNA